CCGCGCCCGCUGGGAGAGAUCGGACCGCGUCCGGCGCCGAAGGAGCAACCGCCCCGGAAACUCUCAGGCAAAAGGACCGGCGGGCCAUG
rnacentral:ncRNA from 1 species